rnacentral:misc_RNA from 1 species
GAGAUAACAAAGCUACAGCUAAGCACUUUUGUUUGCGUAGAAAUGGAGAGAAACAAUUGAAACUUAAAAAUCACAAAAGUCCUCAUACCAAGAGUCAACAAGGUACAGUUAUGGACUUAAGUCCUCUAUGCAAACAUGACAGUGAAAAAAUUAACGAUAAAUUCAAAUUUACCAAAUAUGCAAGCAAGAAAAGAAUACAUGGAUUUAGUAUUCUACAACUCUUGGUGGUGCUCAUCAUCGAGAACAUGAUUUUGUGAGAAGAUGAAGAUGAUUAUGUUAUAUUUGUGAUUCAUGUUGCCUAUUGCUAGACCAUGACAAGCAAAGUUGCAUUCUGGAGAACAUUAUCACAUCCAGUAUCAUAGUAUCACUGCAAAAGCCACUAAAGUACAUAACCAAUUGUGCUUUGAGUUAUCCUUUGUUUGUAAAGAGUUCAUCAAUUUAGAAAUCUUUCUGCAGCUACUUCUGCAAAACAAGUGGAUGGGCGCCUUCAAAUGAAAUAAAAUUGAUAUAGCUUCAAACCAUCCCAAGAAUGUAGAUGCCAUCUAAUUUAAAGUCUAACAGAAUGCCUAGAGAAAAACUAGCUAGAC